UUAGAUACCCUGGUAGUCCACGCCGUAAACGAUGUCGACUUGGAGGUUGUGCCCUUGAGGCGUGGCUUCCGGAGCUAACGCGUUAAGUCGACCGCCUGGGGAGUACGGCCGCAAGGUUAAAACUCAAAUGAAUUGACGGGGGCCCGCACAAGCGGUGGAGCAUGUGGUUUAAUUCGAUGCAACGCGAAGAACCUUACCUACUCUUGACAUCCAGAGAACUUAGCAGAGAUGCUUUGGUGCCUUCGGGAACUCUGAGACAGGUGCUGCAUGGCUGUCGUCAGCUCGUGUUGUGAAAUGUUGGGUUAAGUCCCGCAACGAGCGCAACCCUUAUCCUUUGUUGCCAGCGGUUCGGCCGGGAACUCAAAGGAGACUGCCAGUGAUAAACUGGAGGAAGGUGGGGAUGACGUCAAGUCAUCAUGGCCCUUACGAGUAGGGCUACACACGUGCUACAAUGGCGCAUACAAAGAGAAGCGACCUCGCGAGAGCAAGCGGACCUCAUAAAGUGCGUCGUAGUCCGGAU
rnacentral:rRNA from 1 species